AAUCUGGUUGAUCCUGCCAGUAGUCAUAUGCUUGUCUCAAAGACUAAGCCAUGCACGUCUAAGUACAAACUAAAUGAUGGUGAAACUGCAAAUGGCUCAUUACAACGGUUAUGAUGUACCCGGGAGUUCCGAUGGAUAUUUCCAGUAACACUAGAACUAAUACAUGUCCCUGCGUUUAUUAGUUUCGCACAGUCCGUCGCUGAGUCAUGGUAAACAGUUGAUCGACUCGACGUCCCGGAACAGUUUCCGCCCCAUCAGCUUCGAUGGUUGGGUAUUGGCCUACCAUUGCAACAACGGGUGACGAGGAAUUAGGGUUUGAUUUCGGAGAGGGAGCCUGAGAAACGGCUACCACAUCUACGGAUGGCAGCAGGCGCGCAAAUUACCCAAUGCAGACACUGUGAGGUAGUGACGAGAAAUAAUAAAGCGGGACUUCUGUUUCGCUAUUAUAAUGAGGAAUAACCAAAGGUCAUUCCGAUUAGCAACUGAUGGGAAAGUCUGGUGCCAGCAGCCGCGGUAAUACCAGCGUCAGUAGCAUAUAUUAAAAUUGUUGCAGUUAAAACGUCCGUAGUCUGUACGUCGUCCCAAACUCACUGCAGUCUUCCGUUUUCUUAAUUGAAUGCGGUAGUUUCUGCAGUCACUCCCUUGAUCAAAUUAGGUUGUUCAAGGUAGACCAAGUCUUCAUAUUUUCACAUGGAAUUGGGUGAGGGAACUUAAGAGUUUAAGUUUCUCGUCUUAGGAUCAUCCGGGGUCAUUCGUACUCGUCCGCGAGAGGUGAAAUUCUUGGACCGGACGAAGACGACCAGCAGCGAAAGCAUCUGUCAGGGAUGUUUUCUGCGACAAAGGACGAAGGUCAGGGUAUCGAAGACGAUUAGAUACCGUCGUAGUCCUGACUGUAAACUAUGCCAACUUGGGUCUUGCUGGGCGAUGCUUUGUGAGACCCACACAGAAAUGAAAGUGUAUGGGUUCUGGGGGUAGUAUGGACACAAGUCUGAAACUUGAAGGAAUUGACGGAAGAGCACCAUAAGACGUGGAGCUUGCGGCUUAAUUUGACUCAACGCGGGAAAACUUACCAGGUCAAGACAUGGGCGUGAUUGACAGGCUAAUGACUUUUCUCGAUUCCAUGGAUGGUGGUGCAUGGUCGCACUUAGUUGGUGCAGUGAUUUGUCAGGUUUAUUCCGGUAACGAACGAGACCUUAGCCUA
rnacentral:rRNA from 1 species